rnacentral:rRNA from 1 species
AUUGAACGCUAGCGGGAUGCCUUACACAUGCAAGUCGAACGGCAGCGGGAAGUUAGCUUGCUACUUUGCCGGCGAGUGGCGAACGGGUGAGUAAUGUAUCGGAACGUGCCCAGUAGCGGGGGAUAACUACGCGAAAGCGUGGCUAAUACCGCAUACGCCUACGGGGAAAGGGGGGACGUCUUCGGAGCCUCUCACUAUUGGAGCGGCCGAUAUCGGAUUAGCUAGUUGGUGGGGUAAAGGCCGU